rnacentral:rRNA from 1 species
UACGAAGGGGGCUAGCGUUGCUCGGAUUGACUGGGCGUAAAGGGCGCGUAGGCGGUUCGUACAGUCAGACGUGAAAUUCCUGGGCUCAACCUGGGGGCUGCGUUUGAUACGUGCGGACUUGAGUGCGGAAGAGGGUCGUGGAAUUCCCCAGUGUAGAGGUGAAAUGCGUAGAUAUCUGGAGGAAUACCGGUGGCGAAGGCGGCAUCCUGGACCGACAUUGACGCUGAACGGCGAAAGCUAAGGGGAGCGAA